UACGUAGGGUGCAAGCGUUGUCCGGAAUUAUUGGGCGUAAAGAGCUCGUAGGCGGUCUGUCGCGUCGGCUGUGAAAACUCGGGGCUCAACCCCGAGCCUGCAGUCGAUACGGGCAGACUAGAGUGCUGUAGGGGAGACUGGAAUUCCUGGUGUAGCGGUGAAAUGCGCAGAUAUCAGGAGGAACACCGGUGGCGAAGGCGGGUCUCUGGGCAGUAACUGACGCUGAGACGCGAAAGCGUGGGGGAGCAAACAGG
rnacentral:rRNA from 1 species